rnacentral:rRNA from 1 species
UGGGGAAUAUUGGACAAUGGGCGAAAGCCUGAUCCAGCCAUGCCGCGUGUGUGAAGAAGGUCUUCGGAUUGUAAAGCACUUUAAGUUGGGAGGAAGGGCAGUAAGCGAAUACCUUGCUGUUUUGACGUUACUCGCAGAAUAAGCACCGGCUAACUCUGUGCCAGCAGCCGCGGUAAUACAGAGGGUGCAAGCGUUAAUCGGAAUUACUGGGCGUAAAGCGCGCGUAGGUGGUUCGUUAAGUUGAAUGUGAAAGCCCCGGGCUCAACCUGGGAACUGCAUCCAAAACUGGCGAGCUAGAGUAGGGCAGAGGGGGGUGGAAUUUCCUGUGUAGCGGUGAAAUGCGUAGAUAUAGGAAGGAACACCAGUGGCGAAGGCGACCACCUGGGCUCAUACUGACACUGAGGUGCGAAAGCGUGGGGAGCAAACAGG